CAUGCACAAAGAAGCCAACGCCUCUCCCUUCUCAUGCCAAGAGUGGAUAAAGAUUGGUUGGUUGGCAUUUGAAUUCAAGUGAGCAACCACCUAUCUUUAUCAUCUCACGUGGUGAAAAUGCUAAAAAGAUACAUCUUGCACUAUUUUAAAAAGGAAGAGAAGAUGGGGCAUGCGCACAUCUGAUUCAAGUGAGAGAAGGGUGGUGUGAGAAAGCUUUUCUGCAUAAGAAAAGAAAAGAAAAGAAAGAGUGGGCGCAAGAUUUUUCUUGUGUACCCUAGGAUUUCUGCCUAGGGUUUGGGAAUUGAGAAAGUGAGCUACG
rnacentral:lncRNA from 1 species